AUUUGAUGAUGAUCUUACUAUCUUCACUAUCUACGCUCGCUCUUCUUCGGGUUGCGCUAACUCGGAAAUAAGCGACUUGAUGAACUGUAUCGGACGAUUCACUCCACGCCAAAAAUCCAAUGUGAUAAUUCUUGGAGAUAUGAACGCUCACGUUGGUUACCGGGAUCUGCUUGAUGCUGAUAAGCGUUAUGUUGGACGAUAUUUGUACCAGCCUUGGAGUAACAGCAACGGGGAGAUCUACUCCAUUUCUUGGAUUAUCGCUUGUGCAGCUCAUUCGGUCCCAACGAGAGUGUGUUGCACACCUGGAGUCCGGGUAGCAGUUGCUCACAGAUCGAUCAUAUUGUGAUGCCGAUCAUUCCGCGCUUCGGAAAUCCGCAGUGCCGCUGCAUUUAGCCAGUUUCAGGUUUCUCUGAUCAUCGACUUUUGUUGUUGAGAGUUAAACGUCGUUAUGUUCGUGUGCCCGUUCCUCCUGCUGUUUUGGCUUCUGAAUCAAAUUUAUGCCAGAGGUGCACUCGCUAAAUCAACGUGAACCUGCUCAAAACUAGCGACGAGGUUAAGAAACGCUACCACCAAUUGCUGUCUGUCAAACUGCAAGCACUCAAUCAGCCUCGAGAUAGUUUGUCUGUCGCAAAUCUGCUAGACCAUGUCGUCCGUUGCUUUAAGAAGACGCUAGGGAG